GACGUAGGGCGCGAGCGUUGUCCGGAUUUAUUGGGCGUAAAGAGCUCGUAGGCGGCUCGUUGCGUCAACCGUGAAAACCCGGGGCUUAACUUCGGGCUUGCGGUUGAUACGGGCGGGCUGGAGUUCGGUAGGGGAGACUGGAAUUCCUGGUGUAGCGGUGAAAUGCGCAGAUAUCAGGAAGAACACCCGUGGCGAAGGCGGCUCUCUGGGACGGUACUGACGCUGAGACGCGAAAGCGUGGGGAGCGAACAGG
rnacentral:rRNA from 1 species